rnacentral:lncRNA from 1 species
GGCAGAUGUUUCAUCUUCCCCAGUUGAUAACGUGUGUCAAGUCAUAUUUCUGUGACAAUCAUCACUCCCCAAUCAGAAGACACCUGCUCCUUUUCCCUCAACCAAUCACAGCCCCUUUCCCUUGGUUUAAAGGACAAUGACCCAACACACCUCCAGGCUGUGUAAGGGCUAUUUGACCAAGAAGAUCAGAUGACCUGGCCUCCACAAUUACCCGACCUCAACCCAGUUUAGAUGGUUUGGGAUGAGUUGGACCACAGAGUGAAGGAAAAGCAGCCAACAAUUGCUCUUUCAAGACUGUUGGAAAAGCAUUCCAAUAUAAGCUGGUUGAGAGAAU